UGGGGAAUUUUGGACAAUGGGCGAAAGCCUGAUCCAGCAAUGCCGCGUGUGUGAAGAAGGCCUUCGGGUUGUAAAGCACUUUUGUCCGGAAAGAAAUCCUUGGCUCUAAUACAGUCGGGGGAUGACGGUACCGGAAGAAUAAGCACCGGCUAACUACGUGCCAGCAGCCGCGGUAAUACGUAGGGUGCAAGCGUUAAUCGGAAUUACUGGGCGUAAGCGUGCGCAGGCGGUUUGCUAAGACCGAUGUGAAAUCCCCGGGCUCAACCUGGGAACUGCAUUGGUGACUGGCAGGCUAGAGUAUGGCAGAGGGGGGUAGAAUUCCACGUGUAGCAGUGAAAUGCGUAGAGAUGUGGAGGAAUACCGAUGGCGAAGGCAGCCCCCUGGGCCAAUACUGACGCUCAUGCACGAAAGCGUGGGGAGCAAACAGGAUUAGAUACCCCUGGUAGUCCACGCCCUAAACGAUGUCAACUAGUUGUUGGGGAUUCAUUUCCUUAGUAACGUAGCUAACGCGUGAAGUUGACCGCCUGGGGAGUACGGUCGCAAGAUUAAAACUCAAAGGAAUUGACGGGGUCAUAGCUGUUUCCU
rnacentral:rRNA from 1 species